AUGAAUUUUUUAAGUGAAAACUGACGAAAACCGGCCAAAUUUCUGGCAUUUUUACGAGAUGAUAGAAACAAUUUUCAUUGCUUCAUACUGGAUUAUUAUACAACAAGUAUAAAGAACUAAACUGCAAAAUCAUACAUAAUGGGCUGCAUACCGAAGACAAAUUAAAAUAUUGGUUUAGGGUAGAAUCGGGCAUACCGUAGGCCUAUGUGUAUUAUGCGAUAAACCAGUAAUGUCAGAAUGUGGAGGAAACUUGUUUUCAUCUCUUUUUCGAUUGUGAUUGGACCCAGAAUUUUUGGGACUGGUGCAAUAUAGGACAUUUUACUCCAGACCGAAUCAUAGCCAACAUCAUAGAAAACAAGUCUGUGUUGUUGACUGUGAUUUGUGGCAAAUCAGCAAUCUGGCAAUGCAGAAACUCUGUCAAAUAUGAUGCUAUUUAUAAAAUGCAAUGCAGUUUUUAAAUGUAAGGUAUUGGAGUGCUUGAGUUGAAUGGACAGUCAAUGCAGAAAUGAUAUUAUGCAAUAUCAACACAUUGAUGAGGUUUUAAAUAAAUUCAUCAUGCUAUAAUAUCACGUUUCCAACACAGUGACAUUUUACUGUAUUUACUAAUUUGACUAAAAUUUCUAGUUUUUCAAGAAGAUUGCACAGAUUGAAAAUGUAGAAUUCACCUAACGACAUGAUACAGUGAAACAUGUUUUUCUGAUUAUUUAUUUAAUUCUUUAAAAAAUUUUGUUUUUAUAAAAAUGCAAAUGGUAAUUAAAUUGAUUAUUUAUAUUGUAUAUUAUAUUAUAACUGAUAAUGAUGGAAAAAAAUGAAUGAAAUAAAAUGUAUAUUUUUCAAUGGAUCACUUGGAACUAUAUGCACAAAUGUGGACACAAAUGGAAUUAAAUGGCCUUCUUUCUAAUAAUGGGAAAUCGAGCCGAAACCUGAAUAUGCAAUUAAAGAGUCCUGCUGCGAAAAUAAGACAAACAUAUUUCUGUAACGAUUCGUCUGACCAAAAUCAAGACUUCAGACAAGCAGUUUACAACAAUGACAAGAAAAGAACCUGAAUGUAAGGAGGGUUCUGAAUUCAACUGAACGUAAAGUAUUUAAAGUUUCUUGUGGAUUCAGGGGACGAACUCUGGAAACAAGGAAAAAGAAUGAUGAAAAGUAAAAAAAGUUAAUUCGGAUUUGGAAACUUAAGACAAAGAAGAAAUGCAUAAAGAUGAUCUGCUAGAGAAGAAAUACGAGGCUUCCAUCCGUUUCCGAUGAAUCAGCUGAAGAUUGUUUCCUG